ensembl:lncRNA
CUGAGAGCUGAUCCCGCCCACCCCCUCCUCCUGCCGGUUUACUACGGGAUCCAACGCCCUGCCCUGCAGCGUCUGCUAAACUCUCCCGGGCCUCGGGCGGGGUGCCCUCAGAAAGCCCCCCUCCGGCCCCCUCCGUGCCAGCUGCUCUGGAGGCAGGGGUGUGCCCGCAGCCCCCGCCCCGGCGGCCUGGCAGAAGCGCUGAGUCAGCAGCCCUCUCCCAGCACCCGCGCGGCUUCCUCCCACAGGCUGCGAUUCUGUCGUAUGUCCGGGCUUCCCACACGUGACCUCGUCAGCUCAUCCUUCAGAGACAGCUGAAGACAGCUCAGGUGCCUGCAAGACGCAGCGUCUGAAGGCAGUGACGGGGGAUCUGAGUGUGAGGUCUAGAAGCUCUGGACAGUCCUGGUGGGGAAGCCUCUAAACGGAGAUGAAAAGAAAGCAAGGUCGCAGAAGCAGCCCCAUGCAUGGGCCUUCUCUGGAGAAAAGAAACGCAAAGUUAAAACCGCCUCAAGUAAUUACGAGUGGGAAUACGUCAGAGGAUACGACACCGCUUGUCCGCCGGGGAGUGCCCUGCUCGAUUUCUGCUUGUGACGUGGCAUAAAUACAGCCCAAACCAAACCCUAGUACUUGAUGGGAAAACGGUGUCACGGAGAAAACUGUUGUUCAUCUCUAAAACCCAUCCUGGUGCACACGAAAAUCCAGAGACCCAACUCAAAAUCUUCUCUCAUCACGGAGAUAGGAGAACGGUUUCCAGAUGGCAUCUGAGAUACACAGCUUAUCAUUACAUCAAGGAGCAGGCCCGCUCCAACCACAUCCAAGUGAACCACAGAUCCACAAAUCUAUGCCUGGGCAAGUUUGGCUUUUACGGUUUGCCUGGAACGUUCCUGGACCUGCCGCUGUGGUUUCUGGGCUCUCCCCAGGCUAGGCCUUGAGAUUACGCUGAUCAGCCUGGAACCAGGCAAUGUUUCAGGCGCAUGACAACUUCUAACCCCUUUCUGCCUCAUCGUGUUUUCCCCAGGCUGGCCAGGUGGAACACGAAAUUACAUCAAAACAUCAUGGUGUCAUCUUCAAAGUAUUCCGUUUUCCUCUUCCUCUGUGACCCUGGAUCUGCAGAAAACCCUGAGUUGUGUAAUUUAAACUAAGUAGGGCUGGGCAUUUCAAAGAGGUUGAGCAUGGAGAGAAUGUAAGGAUUUGGCUGCAAGGAACAGAAAGUUCAAAAUGCCAGUAGCUCCAACAAAUGGGAGCUUACAGAUCUCUCCCGUUAAACCCCGAUGGCAGGACAGCCUGCCUCUCACAGAGAGCCUUGGCAAACCUGCCAGGAGAGCGAGAUCUUUCCAUCCAGCAUCAAGCUUCCCCACUCCCAGCACACAUGGU